UGAGUACAAGAUGCUACGGCAUUGAAGCAGUCUAUGUCAUACUUCCAAGAAAAGCUUGCAAUGUCAUAAACAAAUAAUGCCUGUACCAUAACCGACACAGGUGGGUAGGUAGAGUAUACUAAGGGGCGCGAGAUAACUCUCUCUAAGGAACUCGGCAAAAUGACUCCGUAACUUCGGGAGAAGGAGUACCUUAUUUUAUAAGGUUGCAAUAACAAGGUCCAAGCAACUGUUUACCAAAAACACAGGUCUCCGCUAAGUCGUAAGACGAUGUAUGGGGGCUGACGCCUGCCCAGUGCCAGAAGGUUAAAGAAGUUGGUUAGCAUUUGCGAAGCUGAUAACUGAAGCCCUGGUGAACGGCGGCCGUAACAAUAACGGUCCUAAGGUAGCGAAAUUCCUUGUCGGGUAAGUUCCGACCCGCACGAAAGGCGUAAUGAUUUGGAUACUGUCUCGGAGAGGGGCUCGGUGAAAUAGACUUGUCUGUGAAGAUGCGGACUACCUGCACCUGGACAGAAAGACCCUAUGAAGCUUUACUGUAACUUGAGAUUGAAAUUGGACUUUAUUUGCGCAGUAUAGGUGGGAGACCUCGAAAGUAUUCUUGCGGGAAUAUUGGAGUCAUCAGUGAGAUACCACUCUUAUAAUGUUAGAUUUCUAACUUUGUAUCAUUAUCUGGUCAAAGAACAGUUUCAGGCGGGCAGUUUGACUGGGACGGUCGCCUCCCAAAUGGUAACGGAGGCGCACAAAGGUUUCCUCUGAACGUGUAGAAAUCGUAUCUAGAGUGUAAAGGCAUAAGGAAGCUUGACUGUGAGACCUACAAGUCGAGCAGGGACGAAAGUCGGUCUUAGUGAUCUGACGGUGCUGAGUGGAAAGGCCGUCACUCAACGGAUAAAAGUUACUCUAGGAUAACAGGCUGAUCUCCCCCAAGAGUUCACAUCGACGGGGAGGUUUGGCACCUCGAUGUCGGCUCAUCGCAUCCUGGGGCGGUAGUACGUCCCAAGGGUUGGGCUGUUCGCCCAUGAAAGCGGUACGCGAGCUGGGUUCAGAACGUCGUGAGACAGUUCGGUCCAUAUCCGGUGUAGGCGUUAGAAUAUUGAGAGGAGCCUUCUUUAGUACGAGAGGACCGAGAAGGACAUACCUCUGGUGUACCAGUUAUCGUGCCAACGGUAAACGCUGGGUAGCUAUGUAUGGAGAGGAUAACCGCUGAAAGCAUCUAAGUGGGAAGCCCACCUCAAGAUAAGUAUUCU
rnacentral:rRNA from 1 species